rnacentral:rRNA from 1 species
GAUGAACGCUGGCGGCAUGCCUAAUACAUGCAAGUCGAGCGAACAGACGAGGAGCUUGCUCCUCUGACGUUAGCGGCGGACGGGUGAGUAACACGUGGAUAACCUACCUAUAAGACUGGGAUAACUUCGGGAAACCGGAGCUAAUACCGGAUAAUAUAUUGAACCGCAUGGUUCAAUAGUGAAAGACGGUUUUGCUGUCACUUAUAGAUGGAUCCGCGCCGCAUUAGCUAGUUGGUAAGGUAACGGCUUACCAAGGCAACGAUGCGUAGCCGACCUGAGAGGGUGAUCGGCCACACUGGAACUGAGACACGGUCCAGACUCCUACGGGAGGCAGCAGUAGGGAAUCUUCCGCAAUGGGCGAAAGCCUGACGGAGCAACGCCGCGUGAGUGAUGAAGGUCUUCGGAUCGUAAAACUCUGUUAUUAGGGAAGAACAAAUGUGUAAGUAACUAUGCACGUCUUGACGGUACCUAAUCAGAAAGCCACGGCGAACUACGU